UGGUAGAUGCACCCUGAUUCAACAUUCCCCCAGGCUCACGCGAUUGAGUUUCGGGGGAAUUUCUUU
rnacentral:sRNA from 1 species